rnacentral:rRNA from 1 species
GACGAACGCUGGCGGCGUGCCUAAUACAUGCAAGUCGAGCGGAACUUAGAAAGCUUGCUUUCUAAGUUUAGCGGCGACGGGUGAGUAACACGUGGGCAACCUGCCUAUAAGACUGGGAUAACUUCGGGAAACCGGAGCUAAUACCGGAUAAUAUAAAAGAACACAUGGUCUUUUAUUGAAAGAUGGCUUCGGCUAUCACUUAUAGAUGGGCCCGCGGCGCAUUAGCUAGUUGGUGAGGUAAUGGCUCACCAAGGCGACGAUGCGUAGCCGACCUGAGAGGGUGAUCGGCCACACUGGGACUGAGACACGGCCCAGACUCCUACGGGAGGCAGCAGUAGGGAAUCUUCCGCAAUGGACGAAAGUCUGACGGAGCAACGCCGCGUGAACGAUGAAGGCCUUCGGGUCGUAAAGUUCUGUUGUUAGGGAAGAACAAGUAUCGUUCGAAUAGGGCGGUACCUUGACGGUACCUAACCAGAAAGCCACGGCUAACUACGUG